rnacentral:lncRNA from 1 species
AACCCAUGACGACCUCUACCCACUACCACGGCUCCGUCUCCCAGCCAUUAACACCAACAACACCAAUACGAGCAAACACGCCAUUUUCCUAUAUCAAAAAAAUUGCAUACAUGAACAAAAUUUUGAAAAAGAAACUGUAAAAAUAGCGAAAAAAUUUCUAAUAACAUUAGAAUGCAUACAAAUGCUAUUUCAAACCAGAUCAUGCAAAAAAUUUCAGCAAAAAUCGAACUUUUUGAAAAAUUCCAAAAUUACAUGCAUAUUAAAGCAUGAAUCUUAGAUCAACGAAAAAUAACUUGUUUUGACGUUGUUCAAGUGUUCUACAAGCAAGGUAAUAGCCUAAGACACUGAUCUAUAGCAAAAAAUUGCAUCAAAAACGGAUUAGAAC